rnacentral:rRNA from 1 species
UACGUAGGGGGCUAGCGUUGUCCGGAAUCAUUGGGCGUAAAGCGCGUGUAGGCGGUCCGGUAAGUCCGCUGUGAAAGUCGGGGGCCCAACCCUCGGAUGCCGGUGGAUACUGUCGGGCUUGAGUACGGAAGAGGCGAGUGGAAUUCCUGGUGUAGCGGUGAAAUGCGCAGAUAUCAGGAGGAACACCAAUUGCGAAGGCAGCUCGCUGGGACGUUACUGACGCUGAGACGCGAAAGCGUGGGGAGCAAACAGG